AACCUAUGGUGAGGGAACCUUCGCAAAAGGUCCUUGUAUCUCUCCCAUGCAUCAUAGAGUGUUUCUAAAUCCAUUUACACGAAAGAGGAGAUAUCAUUACUUAAUUU